rnacentral:tRNA from 1 species
GCGCGGGUGGCGGAAUUGGUAGACGCGCUAGCUUGAGGUGCUAGUUCCCACUUAACCGGGAGUGCGGGUUCAAGUCCCGCUCCGCGCA